rnacentral:piRNA from 1 species
GCCUUCUAAAGCGAUCCCUAUUUACAAUG